GGGAUCCCUUAUUCCGCCUAGUG
rnacentral:siRNA from 1 species